rnacentral:lncRNA from 1 species
GAUGAAGAAUGUUUAUAUCCUUAGCAAUAGCAUAUAAAAUAAUAAUUAAAAAUAACUAAUAUUUAUGUUAAAAUAAAUAUGAAACAAUAUUACCCUCUAUUUGUCAGUAAAGGUUGCCUUAUUAUACAAUUGGCUUGGCUGGAGAGUCGACAUCUUUUGUGAUUGAACUUUGCCCUCCUUAUCUUUACAACACUCUUGGCCUCCUUUCACUCAUUGGUCUUUGAGAAGUGGCUCCAACACCUCUAUCUUUUGUGAUCUUCCUAUAACCUACAAGUAGCAAAAAAAAUUUUAUGAAGUCAUUGAGACUCAUAUAGGACUAUAAGAUAUAUUAUAUUAGGGUUUUAUACAAAUUGGGAGCUUCUCAUGUUAGCUCCUUCAUAUUGAUUUUUAUGCUUGCAUGUUCUUUUAGGAUGGUUAUAUUGGCCAUAGGUCUUGCAUUGCAUCUACAGUCUGGUCCUAGGUAGUUUCCUUUUGUUCUUGAGUUUUUCAUCCCUAUCCUUUCUUCUAUUCUUUUUUCGCCUUCCAAGCAUCUUCUUGAUAGGAGGGGC